rnacentral:siRNA from 1 species
AGUCCUACACUCGACUAAAGAUGC